AAGUCGUAACAAGGUUUCCGUAGGUGAACCUGCGGAAGGAUCAUUACCAAAUCCAAAUAUACCCAAACUCCAUGUGAACUAUUGUUUAGUUUGUCUUUGGGAGAAAUAUGAAAAGAUAUUAGAUUUAAGUUUCUUUUGUCCUUGAGUGUUUCUCCCAAUAGAGUCCGGCGCAAACUUUUGUUUGUGUCCAGAUUCGAAACCCCCCCUCUUUUUUAAACCACUUGAUUUUUCUGUUGGAAUUUUUUUUUAUUAAUUUUAAAUAAAAGACAACUUUUAACGGUGGAUCUCUUGGCUCGUG
rnacentral:misc_RNA from 1 species